AUAAAUAAUUCUAAAAAUUUAAAAAGGAGAGUACUUGGCACAUUGUAAGUUAUCAAUGGCACAUCCUCUAUCUGAGAACAAUACAAUAAAUGCUUUUUUGGGACUAGGAGUUGGAAUAGGAGCUUGCUCCAUCCACUGCAUGCAUCGAUCUAGCAUUACAGUACCUCCAGGAACAGUGCACCCCUU
rnacentral:snRNA from 1 species